rnacentral:lncRNA from 1 species
UGGCACCAUCCAGUUAGAUAGACUAAAUGAGAGGAAUAACACUUGGAGAUUAUUAAUAUAUUAUAAGUUCUAAUAUAUUAAUAAUAUUAUUUGAUUAGUUUGAUCAAAGAAUUAAUUUGGAAUUAAUUAAGUGAUCAAAAGAUAACUAAUUAAAUAUAUGGGUUGAUUAUGUAAAUCAUCCAUAUCUUGUAUAGUGGGCUAAGAGGCUCCAUGGAUUAUCAAGUUGGGUUCUACCCAUAGGAUGCUCCAUGGAUGCUCCAUGGGAGUUACAAACCCAUGGGUCAUGGAAAUGAAGAGUCAUGACACAUUAGGGUUUACAUGGUGUAACCCUAGAUGUGUCAACACUAUAUAAGGAUCCCAUUCUCCACCAAAAUCGGCUAGACAUAAGAAACUAGAGGGCUUGGCCGAUUUUGAGAAGUGUGUGUUAUCUCAAGAGUCUUUCCAAGAGCAUUUGGUGUUGUGUGAAGCAUUUGAGGCAUCACACUUGGGGUGCUAGGCUCACAAGGUUUCAAGGAACACAAGCAACAACAAGGUAAGUUAUUCUAUCUAUGAUUCAAGUUAAAAUUGUUCCCCAUGUAUGCUAGAUAGGAAUAUAACCUUGGAAUUCAACUUUGCAUGAUAAUUAGACAAACAUAGAUCCAAGGUUAUUAGGGUUGCAUGUACACUUAGGAAGUGUUAGAAUGCUCAAAACCCAUCAGUGGUAUCAGAGCCUAGGCUUGUUUGCUUGUUAUUUGUGCUUAAAUGUUGAAAAAAGUAGAAAAACUUGUUGUCUGCCUGAUGAAAUCGCUGAGUCCAUGGGGAGACUCGCCGAGUUCACUUGUAUCUUCAACCUACUCGCCGAGUAGGUUCAUGCACUCGGCGAGUAGGAGCCACAGAGUGCAGAUUUUCGACUUUAGUUGCUGGAAAUGGACUAGAAACAUUACCCUAAACUGUUUUGGUACUUGAAAACUUGUUUUAGAUGGUGUAAUGUCUUUGCUAAUCCAUUUACAACAACUAGUUAUCAAAAUUACAAAGUUUUAAGUGUAAUUUUGAUUCAUGAAAGUGUUCAUAUUCAUGUUCUUGAUCUUAUGAUGUUUAGAUGAUCAUAGGAAUUAUUUGUAACCUAUGUGGUAGUUUAAUUCUUGAUCAUAAUGUGUUUUAAUGGAGUCCAUAACUUGUCCUCAAGUUAUGGAAAACCAAAAGUCACUUGAGUUAAAACCAUUAAAAGAACACAAGAGUUAGAAAAAUGAAGAGUCUUCAUUUUUAUUACUCUAAUAAACUCAUAAGUUACAAGAAAUGAAAAGUUUUGAAAGUUUAGAAAACUUGCCCUCAAGUUUUGGAAGAAGUAAAGUCAUGUUAAAAACUUUAGUUCCAACCCUUAGAAUUUUAAAAGUUAAAAUUCAACCCUUAUACUUCUAUUAUUAUGAUUUAAUAAUUAUAUAUAUAUGUAUAAGAACAAAGUCGUCUUACCGCUAGUACGCCUCAUUCACGAAGUCGGUCUAUAAGGUGGGUAUAUUGUUGUUGCCUAUAAAAUGGCAACUUAAUGGGUGUCCACUCUCACCGACUGCUUGCUUGACCGGUGGAGGGUCGUUAGCCGAACGAGUAAGACAGGGACUUAUAAAUUCUCAUUAAAACUUUGAUGUAUAUUAUAAAGUAACUAAAUGUUUUAUUAAAUUCCCAAUCUUAGUUACUUUAGGAAAAAUGUGAAUAAGGUGCUAAUCCAUGAAAUUACACUUUACACUUUGUUUAAGUCGUUGGUGGAGCGUGUGUGGUUAACCGGCACACUAACUUGGACUUAACAAGGUAGGUAAAGGGUGACUUAAGGUUUAUUAUAGUAUCGGUGGAGCGUGUGUGGUUUACCGGCACAUCGAUUGAGUGAUAAACUUUAAGGGUACCAAGUGAUUUGCAUGGUUACUUCACACCUCGUUUUGUGAUCCUCGGUAUCCCAGUCACAAAACUUGGAGGGCACACUCGAGAUUGAAACAUGCCUUUGAAAAGUUCAUUGAAUCUCAAAGAAUCUAGGAAUUUCUAAGAACCAUUCAAAAACCUAAUACUAAAAUAUUGCGGUUUUCGUGGUGGAAAUUGGUGAAUCGUCAUUCACCUACCUUUCAAAUAUGAUAUAGCUUAGAUUACGGCAUACCUCUUCUAAGUUAUAUUAUAUUGUGAUUGGAUCCUAGCCUUAAUAUUACAUUUGGGUGUUUUAUUAAGGACUCUCUUAUAUCUAAACUAAUCUUGUCCUCUUUCCUUCAGAUGUCUUUCAACAAUGCUUCUGGCUCUAAUCCUAAUGGCUCCUUUACCCUUAUGAACUUGUGUGGGAAAGUCACCUUUGAUGGAUCCAACUUCAAUGAGUGGAUCAGAAACAUCAGGAUGAUUACCCGCUACGAGGACAAAGAAUAUGUCCUUGACAAGGAGCUUAAGGAGAUUGAUGAGUCCACUGCAACUCCUCAGGAGAUCGCUGAAUUUCGGGCACAUGAAAGGGAUGCUACGAAAGUGGCUUGCAUCAUGAUGGCCACGAUGACAGCGGAACUCCAAAAGUCUUAUGAGGAUUUCUACCCUUAUGAAAUGCACCAAGAUUUGAUGGAAAGAUACCAUCAAAGUGCAAGACAAGAGAGGUAUGAAAUCAUCUGCUCCAUGAUAACAACCAUGAUGAAGGACGGGGAAUCCGUCACGAGCCACAUGCAGAAAAUGCAAAGGUAUGUGGAUCGUUUGCUGAAGCUUAAUGUGAACUUCCCGGAGGAUCUUGCAAUAGAUAUUAUUUUGCAUUCCUUACCAUCGUGCUAUGAUCAAUUCCGCAUGACAUAUCACAUGAACAAGGAAGAAGUCACCCUCAGCAAACUUCAGGGACUUCUCAAGACCGCAGAAUCAGGUCUUAAGGGGAAGUCGGUUGCUAUCACUCCUACUCAAAACUCUACUCCGGUUUUGGCAAUCGGGAAAAGUCGAGGGAGGAAGAGAAAGAGCUCUUCUAAGGGUACCAAGGUUCGGACCCUUGAUGGCUCUUCUUCAAGUGGAACCAAGAAAGGUUUCAUUACUCCUUCUUCUGACCCAAAAGAGGCUGAAUGCUUCUAUUGCCAUGAAAAAGCUCAUUGGAAGCGGAACUGCCCAAAAUACCAGCAAGAUGUGAAGGAUGGGAAAGUUAAACCCAACCAUGCAGGUAUUUACACUAUCAUUUCUAAUAACUCACCCCAUUCUAAUUCUUGGGUCCUUGAUACCGGGUGUGGUAUUCACAUUUGUUGUGACUUGCAGGGACUAAGAAGAAGUGAGGAUGUGGAGCAAGGAAGGAUAAACUUGAUCAUGGGGAAUAGGAAAGCUAUACCUGUUACCAAGAUUGGAGUUUAUACUUUAUCGCUAAGUAGUGGGUUUAGUUUAGAUUUGAAUAAGUGUUGUUAUUCGCCAGGAAUGGCAAGAAAUAUUAUUUCCUUUCAUGCUUUGUACAAACAAGGGUUUACCUUUUCAUUUAAUAAUGAAGUUGGUUCUAUAGAUGUUUUCUAUAAUAAUGUCUUUUAUUUUAAAGCAUUACCUUGUGAUGGUGUGUAUGAAGCUGUAUCUGUUGUAGAUAACUUGGGAAAUAAUGUUUUGUGUAUUGAUUCUACUAAUAAUAACUUGGAUAAAGCAUCUUUAUGGCAUUGUCGUCUUGGACAUAUAAGCAAGAAACGCAUAGGCCAACUCCAAAAGGAUGGAGUCUUGGAGUCGUUUGACCUAAAGUCAGAUGAUAGUUGCGAAUCAUGCUUACUUGGAAAAAUGACAAAGUCACCCUUCACAGGUUCGUGUGAGAGGGGUGAAGGUUUGUUGGACCUUAUACACACGGAUGUGUGUGGACCAUUCAAACAUGCCACAAGGGAUGCUAAUCGUUAUUAUUUGACUUUUACUGAUGAUUAUAGUAGAUAUGGAUAUGUCUACUUGAUCAAGCAUAAGUCAGAGACUUUCGAGAGGUUUAAGGAAUUUAAACAGGAAGUCGAGAAUCAAUUGGGCAGGAACAUUAAGAUGCUUCGAUCCGAUCGUGGUGGUGAGUAUCUUAGUUCAGAGUUCCUCGACUAUCUAAGGGAAUGUGGGAUAGUCUCACAAUUGACACCUCCCAGGACACCACAGUUGAAUGGUGUGGCUGAGAGGCGUAAUCGAACCUUGUUAGAUAUGGUUCGUUCCAUGAUGAGUCGAGCUACGCUACCAAUCUCAUUCUGGGGGUAUGCCUUAGAGACUGCCGCCCAUAUCCUUAAUCUAGUCCCUACAAAGAAAGUUGCCAAAACUCCUCACGAGAUGUGGACUGGUAAAGUACCCAAACUAGACCACAUCAAGAUUUGGGGUUGCGAGGCUUUCGUGAGACGCGAGACUCAUGAAAAGCUCGAACCCCGAAGCGAGAGGUGUAUUUUCAUCGGCUACCCACAGCAAUCCUUUGGUUACCUCUUCUACAGACCUAGUGUAAAUGUGGUCUUUGUAAGUAGGAGGGCUUUCUUUAAAGAGAGAGAGUUCAUAAGCCAAGGAAAUAGUGGGAGGCAAGUUGACCUUGAAAUCCUGUUGAGCCAAUUGACUGGUCUANGUACCUCUGAGGCGUUCCACAAGGGUUAGGAAUGCUCCUGAGCAUUACUAUGGAUUCCAUAUUACUGCAGAAGGAGAUACACUUAUCAGUGAUGAGACACUGAUAGGUCUGGAUGAACCUAACAGUUACGCGGAAGCCAUGGCAGGCCCUGAGUCAGCCAAGUGGAAAGAGGCAAUGGACAGCGAAAUACAGUCCAUGUAUGACAAUCAAGUUUGGAACUUGGUUGAGAAUGUACCAGGUCGUAAGACAGUUGGGUGCAAAUGGGUCUUCAAGAAGAAGUCCGACAUGGAUGGUAAAGUACACACUUACAAGCCUAGAUUGGUUGCAAAGGGCUUCUCUCAAAUUCCUGGAGUGGACAAUGAUGAGACCAUUUCUCCAGUAGCCAAGAUUAAGUCUAUUCGGGUUCUGUUGGCCAUACUUGCAUUUCAUGACUAUGAAAUAUGAAAAAUGGAUGUCAGAACCACUUUCCUUAAUGGAAAGUUGGCUGAAGAUGUUUACAUGAGUCAGCCAGAGGGUUUUGUCAGCAACGAGUACCCUAAUAGAGUGUGUAAGCUUGAGAAAUCCAUUUAUGGAUUGAAGCAAGCACCUCGCAGAUGGAAUCUUUGCUUUGAUGAAAAGGUCAAGGAAUUUGGCUUUUCUAGGAGUGAAGAUGAAUCUUGUGUGUAUGUCAAGGCUAGUGGGAGUAUAGUUAGCUUUUUGGUAUUGUAUGUGGAUGACAUACUACUCAUAGGAAACGACAUUCCAACCCUGCAGGAAGUAAAGUCCUGGCUUGGGAAGUGUUUCGCUAUGAAGGACCUUGGUGAAGCUGCCUAUAUUCUAGGGAUAAGAAUCUUGAGAGAUCGGAGUAAAAGACUAAUUGGACUUAGUCAGAGUACCUACUUGGAUAAGGUGCUGAAGAGAUUCAGCAUGCAGGAUUCCAAGAAAGGAGAGUUACCCAUCCAGAGUAACACCAGAUUGAGUAAGACACAAAGCCCUAGCACUGAGGCUGAGAUAGCAGAAAUGAGUCGAACACCUUACGCUUCGGCUGUAGGAUCGAUCAUGUAUGCUAUGACGUGUACUCGACCCGAUGUAGCUUUUGCCUUGAGCAUGGUUAGCAGGUAUCAGGCGAACCCUGGCAAGGCACACUGGACUGCGGUAAAGAAUAUCCUCAAGUACCUACGGAGGACUAAGGACUGGGUCCUUACCCUCGGUGGGAGUGAUGACUUGAGAGUUGUAGGGUAUAGUGAUGCUAGCUUCCAGACUGAUAGGGAUAAUUUCCGCUCUCAGUCGGGCUGGGUCUUUACCCUAAACGGAGGAGCAAUUUCUUGGAAGAGUUCCAAGCAAGAGACAGUGGCAGAUUCUACUUGUGAAUCAGAGUAUAUUGCAGCUAGUGAAGCAGCAAAGGAGGCGAUAUGGCUGAAGAACUUCAUUGGAGACCUUGGAGUUGUACCAGCUAUUAAAGAGCCAAUGGAAAUUUUCUGUGAUAGUGAAAGUGCUGUUGCCUUAGCCAAGGAACCAAGGGAUCAUGGGAGAUCCAGACACAUCGACAGAAAAUACCAUUUCAUUAGACAUCGGAUCGAAGAAGGACUCCUCGUGGCAAAGAGGGUAUCAUCGGAUGAGAACCCAGCAGAUCCCCUCACGAAGGGACUGAGUAGGGUUAAGCAUCUCCAGCAUGCUCGGAGCAUAGGGCUGAAGGAUGAUAUAAGUUUUAGUAGUUAGAUAACCCAGAAAUUUGUAAAGUGUAAUUGACAUUUGAUGAUGAAUAAAAGGUGUUUUAUUUAUGAGUAAAGUGUUGCUAUCUCUUGUCGAUCGUUUACUAUAUUUCUUUUGCAUGUUUUGACUUCCAGAAUAAUUUUGUUUGGUAUAACAUAUUAUUCAAACCUCCACAGUCGGUCAUAUGUCGGAAGUAGGUAUGAAUCAAGACUGUCAUGAUGGGUUGUAGAGGUCUAAGGUGUUGGACAAGGCUACAACAAUCAUGAGUGCUCAUAAGUUCUGAGCAUUGGACUCAACCCACGCUCACUGGAAUCACUUCAUGGAAUUCUAUCUCGAGUGAUCGUGAGACGGUAAUAUCAUAUAAGUCUUCAAACCUAGAGAUAUGAUUUGUUACUUACAAGUUGGUUAUGCAUUGACUGUACGAAACCGCAUUGGUAACUCGAUGUUAUAAAACGUACUUUUGUGUGUAAUUCAAUGAGUGGUAGAACAAACAUAUGAGUCGAAGUUUAUCUGUUCCUUCUUGGAUUAGAAGCUGAUAUCUGGGCCCCUCGAUGAUUUUGUUUUGACCCAUGUACCGGGCCCGGUCAGAACUAAGUUGAUGUGUUCAAUUAAGUUCUUUGUCAAACAAAUCGGAAAUCGGGAAACAAACUGCUGGACAAUAAGUAAGACAUUGUUCCAUGUAUUUGUCCGGCUGAUAUCUAGAACGGAGGAUUAUAUGAUCACUUAUCUUAAAUGGCGUACCAUCAUCUUCUCAGUUCCGAGAGACCUUGAAAGAGCUACGAUUGCCGGUCGGUUCCUGAAGUACUAGAGAUAUAGUUAUUAGACUUAUCCAAGUGGGAGACUGUUGGAUAAGGUGUCUAAGUCCAUAACUAUUUCGGGCUUGUACUUGACCCGACCCGGCAUGGUCCAUUUGGGUUGCAUGGCACCAUGCAAUUGGAUAGACUAAAUGAGAGGAAUAACACUUGGAGAUUAUUAAUAUAUUAUAAGUUCUAAUAUAUUAAUAAUAUUAUUUGAUUAGUUUGAUCAAAGAAUUAAUUUGGAAUUAAUUAAGUGAUCAAAAGAUAACUAAUUAAAUAUAUGGGUUGAUUAUGUAAAUCAUUCAUAUCUUGUAUAGUGGGCUAAGAGGCUCCAUGGAUUAUCAAGUUGGGUUCUACCCAUAGGAUGCUCCAUGGGAGUUACAAACCCAUGGGUCAUGGAAAUGAAGAGUCAUGACACAUUAGGGUUUACAUGGUGUAACCCUAGAUGUGUCAACACUAUAUAAGAGUCCCAUUCUCCACAAAAUUGGCUACACAAGUUGAACACUAAGAAACUAGAGGGCUUGGCCGAUUUUGAGAAGUGUGUGUUAUCUCAAGAGUCUUUCCAUGAGCAUUUGGUGUUGUGUGAAGCAUUUGAGGCAUCACACUUGGGGUGCUAGGCUCACAAGGUUUCAAGGAACACAAGCAACAACAAGGUAAGUUAUUCUAUCUAUGAUUCAAGUAGAAAUUGUUCCCCAUGUAUGCUAGAUAGGAAUAUAACCUUGGAAUUCAACUUUGCAUGAUAAUUAGACAAACAUAGAUCCAAGGUUAUUAGGGUUGCAUGUACACUUAGGAAGUGUUAGAAUGCUCAAAACCCAUCAUCCUUAUCGUCUUGCAUCAACCGAAAUGAAAGAAAUGAUGAUACAACUGCAGGAAUUACUUGACAAAGACUUUAUUCGACCGAGUACCUAUCCUUGGGGUGCUCCUGUGUUAUUUGUCAAGAAGAAAGACGGUUCGAUGUGAUUGUGUAUUGAUUACCGUGACCUAAAUAAGGUGACUAUCAAGAACAAGUGUCCACUACAUUGCAUUAACGAUUUAUUUGAUUAACCUCAGGGUGUUAGCUAUUUCUAAAAGAUUGAUUUGAGAUAUGGCUAUCGUCAGUUGAAAGUAAACAAGCAGGAUGUACCGAAGACUAUUUUUCGUACUUGAUAUGGGCAUUACGAAUUCCUUGUCAUGCCGUUCGGUUUGACAAAUGCUCCUGUUGUAGUCAUGGAUAUGAUGAAUCGCGUGUGUCGUCCAAUGCUAGAUAAAUCUGUCAACGUAUUCAUUGAAGAUAUUCUAAUUUAUUCCAAGUCUGAAUCCGAUCAUGCCAUUCAUAUUCGUAAGGUAUUAGAACUUUUUUGAAAGGAGAAACUGUUGGAUAAGGUGUCUAAGUCCAUAACUAUUUCUGGUUAGUACUUGACCCGACCCGGCAUGGUCCAUUUGGGUUGCAUGGCACCAUGCAAUUGGAUAGACUAAAUGAGAGGAAUAACACUUGGAGAUUAUUAAUAUAUUAUAAGUUCUAAUAUAUUAAUAAUAUUAUUUGAUUAGUUUGAUCAAAGAAUUAAUUUGGAAUUAAUUAAGUGAUCAAAAGAUAACUAAUUAAAUAUAUGGGUUGAUUAUGUAAAUCAUUCAUAUCUUGUAUAGUGGGCUAAGAGGCUCCAUGGAUUAUCAAGUUGGGUUCUACCCAUAGGAUGCUCCAUGGGAGUUACAAACCCAUCGGUCAUGGAAAUGAAGAGUCAUGACACAUUAGGGUUUACAUGGUGUAACCCUAGAUGUGUCAACACUAUAUAAGAGUCCCAUUCUCCACCAAAAUCGGCUACACAUAAGAAACAAGAGGGCUAGGCCGAUUUCAAGAAGUGUGUAUUCUCUCAAAAGUCUUUCAUGAGCAUUUGGUGUUGUGUGAAGCAUUUGAGGCAUCACACUUGGAGUGCUAGGCUCACAAGAUUUCAAGGAACAUAAGCAACAACAAGGUAAGUUAUUCUAUCUUUCAUUCAAGUUAGAAAUUGUUCUCCAUGUAUGCUAGAUAGGAAUAUAACCUUGGAAUUCAACUUUGCAUGAUAAUUAGAGAAACAUAGAUCCAAGGUUAUUAGGGUUGCAUGUACACUUAGCAAGUGUUAGAAUGCUCAAAACCCAUCAUCCUUAUCGUCUUGCGUCAGCCGAAAUGAGAGAAAUGAUGAUCCAACUGCAGGAAUUACUUGACAAAGACUUUAUUCGACUGAGUACCUAUCCUUGGGGUGCUCCAGUGUUAUUUGUCAAGAAGCAAGACGGUUCGAUGUGAUUAUGUAUUG